CGAAUAGUGAAAUGAAGAGAGCUAUCCGUCGACAGUCAAGUUAAAACUGAUAGUAAUACUGUCAUGGAAUUGCUCUCUUUGUAUAACAUUCG
rfam:Drosophila ficusphila unplaced genomic scaffold scf7180000453809, whole genome shotgun sequence